UACGUAGGGGGCUAGCGUUGUCCGGAAUCAUUGGGCGUAAAGCGCGUGUAGGCGGCCCGAUAAGUCCGCUGUGAAAGUCCAGGGCUCAACCCUGGGAUGCCGGUGGAUACUGUCGGGCUCGAGUCCGGAAGAGGCGAGUGGAAUUCCUGGUGUAGCGGUGAAAUGCGCAGAUAUCAGGAGGAACACCAAUGGCGAAGGCAG
rnacentral:rRNA from 1 species